rnacentral:rRNA from 1 species
UACGUAGGGUGCAAGCGUUAAUCGGAAUUACUGGGCGUAAAGCGUACGCAGGCGGCUGUGUAAGACAGGUGUGAAAUCCCCGGGCCUAACCUGGGAACUGCAUUUGUGACUGCAUAGCUAGAGUCUGUCAGAGGGGGGUGGAAUUCCACGUGUGAGCAGUGAAAUGCGUAGAGAUGUGGAGGAACACCGAUGGCGAAGGCAGCCCCCCUGGGAUAAGACUGACGCUCGAUGUACGGAAAAGCGUGGGGAGAAACAGG